UGGGGAAUCUUAGACAAUGGGCGAAAGCCUGAUCUAGCGAUGCCGCGUGUGUGAUGAAGGUCUUAGGAUCGUAAAGCACUUUUGCCAGGGAUGAUAAUGACAGUACCUGGUAAAGAAACCCCGGCUAACUCCGUGCCAGCAGCCGCGGUAAUACGGAGGGGGUUAGCGUUGUUCGGAAUUACUGGGCGUAAAGCGCACGUAGGCGGACCAGUCAGUCAGAGGUGAAAUCCCGGGGCUCAACCUCGGAACUGCCUUUGAUACUGCUGGUCUCGAGUUCGAGAGAGGUGAGUGGAAUUCCGAGUGUAGAGGUGAAAUUCGUAGAUAUUCGGAGGAACACCAGUGGCGAAGGCGGCUCACUGGCUCGAUACUGACGCUGAGGUGCGAAAGCGUGGGGAGCAAACAGGAUUAGAUACCCGCGUAGUCC
rnacentral:rRNA from 1 species